rnacentral:rRNA from 1 species
AAGUCGAACGAAGCUUGACGGAUGAUUUCUUCGGAAUGAAACCUGAUAUGACUUAGUGGCGGACGGGUGAGUAACACGUGAGCAACCUGCCUUUCAGAGGGGGAUAACGGCUGGAAACGGUCGCUAAUACCGCAUGACACUGAGGGAAAAGGAUUUAUUCGCUUUAGGAUGGACUCGCGUCCAAUUAGCUAGUUGGUGGGGUAACGGCCUACCAAAGCGACGAUCAGUAGCCGACCUGAGAGGGUGACCGGCCACAUUGGGACUGAGACACGGCCCAAACUCC